rnacentral:rRNA from 1 species
GAGUUUGUAUCAUGGCUCAGAGUGAACGCUGGCGGCAUGCCUAACACAUGCAAGUCGAACGGUAACAGGCCCGCAAGGGUGCUGACGAGUGGGCGGACGGGUGAGGAAUACAUCGGAAUUUGCCCAGUCGUGGGGGGAGUAACGUAGGGAAACUUACGCUAAUACCGCAUACGACACCGUGUUGAAUAGAUACGGGGUGAAAGCGGGGGAUCGCAAGACCUCGCGCGAGUGGAUGAGCCGAUG